ensembl:snoRNA
CAGCAUUCUUAAACCCUCUUGGUAGCAUUGCUGAAAACGCUUCCAAGAUAUGAGUGAAUGCGACAGAAAAUUGCAGAUUAAUCCAAAAUGCUAAGUAUUUUCUUCUGACUUGGCAUUAUUUCACAUCUGUGACAAUUU